rnacentral:tRNA from 1 species
AGUAAGAUAAGCUAAUAAAGCUAGUGGGUUCAUACCCCAAAAAUGAGAUAAUCUCUCUUACUA